rnacentral:tRNA from 1 species
GGCAAGGUGGCCGAGCGGUCCAAGGCGCCACGUUAAGGCAGUCCGUGGUCUCGAAAGGGGCGUGAGUUCGAAUCUCACCCUUGUCA